GACGAACGCUGGCGGCGUGCUUAACACAUGCAAGUCGAACGGAAAGGCCCUGCUUUUGUGGGGUGCUCGAGUGGCGAACGGGUGAGUAACACGUGAGUAACCUGCCCUUGACUUUGGGAUAACUUCAGGAAACUGGGGCUAAUACCGGAUAGGAGCUCCUGCUGCAUGGUGAGGGUUGGAAAGUUUCGGCGGUUGGGGAUGGACUCGCGGCUUAUCAGCUUGUUGGUGGGGUAGUGGCUUACCAAGGCUUUGACGGGUAGCCGGCCUGAGAGGGUGACCGGCCACAUUGGGACUGAGAUACGGCGCAGUGUCCAACGGGAGGCAGCAGUGGGGAAUAUUGCACAAUGGGCGGAAGCCUGAUGCAGCAACGCCGCGUGCGGGAUGACGGCCUUCGGGUUGUAAACCGCUUUCGCCUGAGACGAAGCGUGAGUGACGGUAAUGGGUAAAGAAGCACCGGCUAACUACGUG
rnacentral:rRNA from 1 species